rnacentral:rRNA from 1 species
AGUGGCGAAAGCGUUUAACUAGAACGAAUCUGACGGUAAGGAACGAAGGCUAGGGUAGCAAACCGGAUUAGAUACCCGGGUAGUCCUAGCUGUAAACAUUGCCCAUUUGAUGUUGCUUUCCCGUUGAGGGAAGGCAGUGUCGGAGCGAAGGUGUUAAAUGGGCCGCUUGGGAAGUAUGGUCGCAAGACUGAAACUUAAAGGAAUUGGCGGGGGAGCACCGCAACGGGAGGAAUGUGCGGUUUAAUUGGAUUCAACGCCGGAAAACUCACCGGGAACGACCUGUGCAUGAGAGUCAACUUGACGAGCUUACUCGAUAGCAGGAGAGGUGGUGCAUGGCCGUCGUCAGCUCGUACCGUAGGGCGUUCACUUAAGUGUGAUAACGAGCGAGACCCACAUCUUUAAUUGCAAAUGUAUAUGAGAAUAUGCAUGCACUUUAGAGAAACCGCCAGCGCUAAGCUGGAGGAAGGAGUGGUCGACGGCAGGUCAGUACGCCCCGAAUUUCCCGGGCUACAC